rnacentral:rRNA from 1 species
ACUCCUACGGGAGGCAGCAGUGGGGGAAUAUUGGACAAUGGGCGAAAGCCUGAUCCAGCCAUGCCGCGUGUGUGAAGAAGGUCUUCGGAUUGUAAAGCACUUUAAGUUGGGAGGAAGGGCAGUUACCUAAUACGUGAUUGUUUUGACGUUACCGACAGAAUAAGCACCGGCUAACUCUGUGCCAGCAGCCGCGGUAAUACAGAGGGUGCAAGCGUUAAUCGGAAUUACUGGGCGUAAAGCGCGCGUAGGUGGUUAGUUAAGUUGGAUGUGAAAUCCCCGGGGCUCAACCUGGGAACUGCAUUCAAAACUGACUGACUAGAGUAUGGUAGAGGGUGGUGGAAUUUCCUGUGUAGCGGUGAAAUGCGUAGAUAUAGGAAGGAACACCAGUGGCGAAGGCGACCACCUGGACUGAUACUGACACUGAGGUGCGAAAGCGUGGGGAGCAAACAGGAUUAGAUACCCCUGGUAGGAUAGCG